AUGAACGCUGGCGGCGUGCCUAAUACCUGCAAGUCGAGCGAACGGACGAGAAGCUUGCUUCUCUGAUGUUAGCGGCGGACGGGUGAGUAACACGUGGAUAACCUACCUAUAAGACUGGGAUAACUUCGGGAAACCGGAGCUAAUACCGGAUAAUAUUUUGAACCGCAUGGUUCAAAAGUGAAAGACGGUCUUGCUGUCACUUAUAGAUGGAUCCGCGCUGCAUUAGCUAGUUGGUAAGGUAACGGCUUACCAAGGCAACGAUGCAUAGCCGACCUGAGAGGGUGAUCGGCCACACUGGAACUGAGACACGGUCCAGACUCCUACGGGAGGCAGCAGUAGGGAAUCUUCCGCAAUGGGCGAAAGCCUGACGGAGCAACGCCGCGUGAGUGAUGUAGGUCUUCGGAUCGUAAAACUCUGUUAUUAGGGAAGAACAUAUGUGUAAGUAACUGUGCACAUCUUGACGGUACCUAAUCAGAAAGCCACGGCUAACUACGUG
rnacentral:rRNA from 1 species